AUUGAACGCUGGCGGCAGGCCUAACACAUGCAAGUCGAACGAGUGGCGGACGGGUGAGUAAUGUCUGGGAAACUGCCUGAUGGAGGGGGAUAACUACUGGAAACGGUAGCUAAUACCGCAUACCAUCGGAUGUGCCCAGAUGGGAUUAGCUAGUAGGUGGGGUAAAGGCGUACCUAGGCGACGAUCCCUAGCUGGUCUGAGAGGAUGACCAGCCACACUGGAACUGAGACACUGUCCAGACUCCUACGGGAGGCAGCAGUGGGGAAUAUUGCACAAGGGGCGAAAGCCUGAUGCUGCGAUGCCGCGUAGAUGAAGAAGGCCUUCGGGUUGUAAAGUACUUUCAGCGGGGAGGCGUUACUCGCAGAAGAAGCACCGGCUAACUCCGUGCCAGCAGCCGCGGUAAUUC
rnacentral:rRNA from 1 species